rnacentral:lncRNA from 1 species
AGUGGCGAUGUGGCAAAAUAGUUAGAGGUGCAGGCGAAGUGGAAAUGGGGCGAAGUAACUGACACCCGAGAGGCGCUAGGCCUAGAUCUUCGUUAAUGAAACUUGACCCUUGGACCAAAUUGGCUUGACUGACGAGAUACUGUAAGCGCUUAUGGACGUGAACAACGUCAGAAGGAAAAGCAAUCGGCUGUUUUACAUAACUGCGCCAAGACAGUAAACAGGGGUGUAACACUGAAGAAAGUGGGAACCAACCUCUUUCAGAUAACUACAGAGAUAAUCAGAGUUCCCCUUAUUAUAAAGCACAGGUGCAAUCUCGUGU